CAAGACGUAGCUAUAAGCCCAAAGCAUUCAGCUUACGCCUGAAAGAUGUCUACCCUCUAAGACCGUCUUGA
rnacentral:tRNA from 1 species